CUUUGCCUUCGCCUCCACUGCCGUCCGCGCCACCGCCCUUUGCCUCCGCCCCCAUCGCCGGUACGUACCGCUGCCCUUUGCUUCCGCCACACCGUCGUUCGCGCCGCCGCACUUUGCCUCCGCCACCACCGCCGUCCACGCCGCCGCACUUUGCCUCCGCCACCACCGCCGUCCGUGCCACCGCCCUUUGACGCCGCCUCCAUAGCCAUACCAGUACGAAAGAAAAAAUAACCUAGCCCCGCCACUUCCUCGCGGCGCUCCGCCCCGCCUCUGGCCACCUCCCCCCACCCCCACCCCCUGCCUCACCGCGCACCCUCAACCGCCCCCUGCCUCCCACCCCGGAGAAAGGUGAGUGCGGCUUCCAAUGGACGGAUCCAGACGGAGGAGGGUUAGGGAGGCGCGCGGAAGACCGACGAGGUUGGGAGGCACUGGAUACAAAGUUCGAGGUGGCGCCAUGGUUGCUCGGUGAGCUCCUGCAAGGGAACAUGGCGGGACGAGAUUUAAAGGGAGGUGUGAGAGAGAAGGGAAAGGGAGCGGCGGCGGAGACUCCGCUGCUCACCAGCGAGUGCGAGGUGUGGGGAAUGUCGAGCGCUGGGGCGCCAUGCGCAGCUGCGGCUGCGGGCGGUUGAAGACGCGGCCUUAGGUGAGCUGUUGUUGCGUUCGUGUGCGAGCGCCGUUCCGUCCGUCGGACUAAGGGAGGGUGGGUUGUGGAGACUUCGGGGUGGCUGGUGGAGGCUUUGGUCUUGUUGCAAGGCCGGAGGAGGCGACAAGUGGCGGCUCGCCAUGGCUGCACUGCACGGGAGCGGAGGCAGGCGUUCGGUGGCCAGUCCGUGUGGAUGCAAAUGAGAUCCAGCCGUGAUGAACAAAUAGCAGCAGACUGUGCUGCUCUUUUCCUCUUAUCUGAAUUUUCUGCAGAUGAGAUCCAGCCAUGAUAAACAAACACCAGCAGGCCGUGGCGUCAUGCUGCUCUCUUAUCUAUCUGAAUUUUCUGCAAUUCAGAGCCACCAAGGAAGAGAUGGACGAGGCCGUGCUGCUCCUUUCAUCUAUCUGAAUUGCUAUAUGAAAAUCUCUGAAUUUCCAAUCUGGUCAAUGUCACCACUCACUCUCAUUUUCAAGCAUAGUAUAUGCGAGGUAUUGUACCAGCCAACAUGAUAUGUGUUGCUUGCAGGAAGAUUAACGAGACGGCCGAUAGAUCGGUUUUGGUGGCAGCGCUGCUUUGGUAUCCCUGCUCCAUGGCAUGUGUUUUUCAUUGCCUCCUCCACGUAGCUCUCCCAGUAACAGUGAAGAUAGCUUGGUGUGGGUAAGGCGAAUCACUUCAAAAAAUUCCCAUAUAUCUCGAGUAACUACAGAAGCAGGUGUGACAACGUUUGUGUGCUCACAAACUACCAAAGCAUAUUCUUCAUUAUAUGCUAGCAAUUUACUCAAAUUAUUAUCUAUUGUAUUAGUAACUUGAGCUUCGCAAUUUGUAUUUGAUGAUUAUGUUUCCCCCCUUUUAAUAUAGAUUUCCCUAUUUACAUUUAUUGCGAAAUUGCAGCUAGAUGUUUCCGCGCCACAACAGGUCCCCUCUAACAUAUUCUUUACGUCCAUUUUACGGAAGAUGUAAGUGUACAGAAAGAUUAACAUGGGUUACUCUUCUUUCAAGGGAGUAGCUACAUAGCUUAUGUAAAUUCUUAAUUGUCAUUUCCUAUUCAUGUACUGGCUGAGUUUUUAUUUAGAAGGUACUUUGUAGUUUCGAUGCAUUGUCGUGGAUUUGCAUUUUCUGAUUAAAAAUUGCCCUUUUAUUUUUUUCCUCUAAAAGGAUGAUUGCCUUUUUGUGAAGACCUUUGUGUUGAUAUUUUAGUUUAUGAUAACAUGUCACAUCAUUAGAGAAAUUUCAUCACUUUUUGCUGGUAUAAUUCUUCAAUAUCAUUUAUACUUCUAUAAAAAUCAUAAGGUGGUCUAGACGAUGAUCAUCAGGAUGCUUGUGUGCCAUAGUUGUCUUCUUAGCCCGGUGCCUUAACUAUUGUCUUGCUUUUUAUCUGCAGCCAUUGCAAUUCUCAAUAAUGCGACUCUUCUGUUCCAUAGUAAAGUUUUAGGUGAUCUGUAAUGAAAACAAAACUGCAGAGGAUAUAAGAAAUAUAUUAUCAUAUUCUUUU